rnacentral:rRNA from 1 species
AUGAACGCUGGCGGCGUGCCUAAUACAUGCAAGUCGAGCGAACAGACGAGGAGCUUGCUCCUCUGACGUUAGCGGCGGACGGGUGAGUAACACGUGGAUAACCUACCUAUAAGACUGGGAUAAAUUCGGGAAACCGGAGCUAAUACCGGAUAAUAUAUUGAACCGCAUGGUUCAAUAGUGGAAGACGGUUUUGCUGUCACUUAUAGAUGGAUCCGCGCCGCAUUAGCUAGUUGGUAAGGUAACGGCUUACCAAGGCAACGAUGCGUAGCCGACCUGAGAGGGUGAUCGGCCACACUGGAACUGAGACACGGUCCAGACUCCUACGGGAGGCAGCAGUAGGGAAUCUUCCGCAAUGGGCGAAAGCCUGACGGAGCAACGCCGCGUGAGUGAUGAAGGUCUUCGGAUCGUAAAACUCUGUUAUUAGGGAAGAACAAAUGUGUAAGUAACUAUGCACGUCUUGACGGUACCUAAUCAGAAAGCCACGGCUAACUACGUG